rnacentral:rRNA from 1 species
GACGAACGCUGGCGGCGUGCCUAAUACAUGCAAGUAGAACGCAGUUGCGAACGCGUGAGUAACGCGUAGGUAACUGCCUGGUAGCGGGGGAUAACUAUUGGACACGAUAGCUAAUACCGCAUACUACCAGAUGGACCUGCGUUGUAUUAGCUAGUUGGUGGGGUAACGGCUCACCAAGGCAACGAUACAUAACCGACCUGAGAGGGUGAGCGGCCACAAUGGGACUGAGAAACGGCCAAGACUCCUACGGGAGGCAGCAGUAGGGAAUCUUCGGGAAUGGGGGGAAACCUGACCGAGCAACGCCGGGUGAGGGAAGAAGGUUUUCGGAGCGUAAAGCUCUGUUGUUAAGGGAGCGGUAGUUAACCAGAAAGGGACGGCUAACUACGUGCCAGCCGCCGCGGUAAUUC